AGACGUCUACAUUAGAUACCCCUGUAGUCCCAGCCGUAAACUAUGCGCGUUAGGUGUAUCGGUGACCACGAGUCACCGAGGUGCCGAAGGGAAACCGUGAAACGUGCCGCCUGGGAAGUACGGUCGCAAGGCUGAAACUUAAGGAAUUGGCGGGGGAGCACCACACGGGUGGAGCCUGCGGUUUAAUUGGACUCAACGCCGGACAACUCACCGGGGACGACAGCAAUAUGUAGGCCAGGCUGAAGACCUUGCCUGAAUCGCUG
rnacentral:rRNA from 1 species